AGAGUUUGAUCCUGGCUCAGGACGAACGCUGGCGGCGUGCUUAACACAUGCAAGUCGAACGAUGAAGCCCUUCGGGGUGGAUUAGUGGCGAACGGGUGAGUAACACGUGGGCAAUCUGCCCUGCACUCUGGGACAAGCCCUGGAAACGGGGUCUAAUACCGGAUACUGAUCGCCUUGGGCAUCCUUGGUGAUCGAAAGCUCCGGCGGUGCAGGAUGAGCCCGCGGCCUAUCAGCUUGUUGGUGAGGUAAUGGCUCACCAAGGCGACGACGGGUAGCCGGCCUGAGAGGGCGACCGGCCACACUGGGACUGAGACACGGCCCAGACUCCUACGGGAGGCAGCAGUGGGGAAUAUUGCACAAUGGGCGAAAGCCUGAUGCAGCGACGCCGCGUGAGGGAUGACGGCCUUCGGGUUGUAAACCUCUUUCAGCAGGGAAGAAGCGAAAGUGACGAUACCUGCAGAAGAAGCGCCGGCUAACUACGUGCCAGCAGCCGCGGUAAUACGUAGGGCGCGAGCGUUGUCCGGAAUUAUUGGGCGUAAAGAGCUCGUAGGCGGCUUGUCGCGUCGGUUGUGAAAGCCCGGGGCUUAACCCCGGGUCUGCAGUCGAUACGGGCAGGCUAGAGUUCGGUAGGGGAGAUCGGAAUUCCUGGUGUAGCGGUGAAAUGCGCAGAUAUCAGGAGGAACCACCGGUGGCGAAGGCGGAUCUCUGGGCCGAUACUGACGCUGAGGAGCGAAAGCGUGGGGAGCGAACAGGAUUAGAUACCCUGGUAGUCCACGCCGUAAACGGUGGGCACUAGGUGUGGGCGACAUUCCACGUCGUCCGUGCCGCAGCUAACGCAUUAAGUGCCCCGCCUGGGGAGUACGGCCGCAAGGCUAAAACUCAAAUGAAUCGUCGACCUGCAGGCAUGCAA
rnacentral:rRNA from 1 species